rfam:Micromonospora aurantiaca ATCC 27029, complete genome.
CUUCACCGAGCCGAGCAGCAGUGGCGGGGCCUCGCCACGGUCCUGCCCGUACGUGGCGAUGAGCGCCUGCGCCUC